rnacentral:snRNA from 1 species
UUUCCUUUAUUUGAGGACUGUAUAUUAAAUUGAUUUUUGAAAUAGGGGGCUGGAAUUGGAGCUUGCUUGUCCACCCCAUGCAUUGACCUGGUAUUGCAGUGUCUCUGGGAAUGGUGC